AGAGUUUGAUCCUGGCUCAGGAUGAACGCUGGCGGCGUGCCUAACACAUGCAAGUCGAGCGAUCUUCUUCGGAAGAGAGCGGCGGACGGGUGAGUAACGCGUGGGUAACCUGCCCUGUACACACGGAUAACAUACCGAAAGGUAUGCUAGUACGGAAUAACAUAAGAAAUUCGCAUGUUUUUCUUAUCAAAGCUCCGGCGGUACAGGAUGGACCCGCGUCUGAUUAGCUAGUUGGUGAGGUAACGGCUCACCAAGGCGACGAUCAGUAGCCGACCUGAGAGGGUGAUCGGCCACAUUGGAACUGAGACACGGUCCAAACUCCUACGGGAGGCAGCAGUGGGGAAUAUUGCACAAUGGGCGAAAGCCUGAUGCAGCAACGCCGUGUGAGCGAUGAAGGCCUUCGGGUCGUAAAGCUCUGUCCUCAAGGAGGAUAAUGACGGUACUUGAGGAGGAAGCCCCGGCUAACUACGUGCCAGCAGCCGCGGUAAUACGUAGGGGGCUAGCGUUAUCCGGAUUUACUGGGCGUAAAGGGUGCGUAGGCGGUCUUUUAAGUCGGGAGUGAAAGGCUACGGCUCAACCGUAGUAAGCUCUUGAAACUGGAGGACUUGAGUGCAGGAGAGGAGAGUGGAAUUCCUAGUGUAGCGGUGAAAUGCGUAGAUAUUAGGAGGAACACCAGUAGCGAAGGCGGCUCUCUGGACUGUAACUGACGCUGAGGCACGAAAGCGUGGGGAGCAAACAGGAUUAGAUACCCUGGUAGUCCACGCCGUAAACGAUGAGUACUAGGUGUCGGGGGUUACCCCCCUCGGUGCCGCAGCUAACGCAUUAAGUACUCCGCCUGGGGAGUACGCUCGCAAGAGUGAAACUCAAAGGAAUUGACGGGGACCUGCACAAGUAGCGGAGCAUGUGGUUUAAUUCGAAGCAACGCGAAGAACCUUACCUAAGCUUGACAUCCUUUUGACCGAUGCCUAAUCGCAUCUUUCCCUUCGGGGACAGAAGUGACAGGUGGUGCAUGGUUGUCGUCAGCUCGUGUCGUGAGAUGUUGGGUUAAGUCCCGCAACUAGCGCAACCCUUGCCUUUAGUUGCCAUCAUUAAGUUGGGCACUCUAGAGGGACUGCCAGGGAUAACCUGGAGGAAGGUGGGGAUGACGUCCAAUCAUCAUGCCCCUUAUGCUUAGGGCUACACACGUGCUACAAUGGGUGGUACAGAGGGCAGCGAGGUCGUGAGGCCAAGCUAAUCCCUUAAAGCCAUUCUCAGUUCGGAUUGUAGGCUGAAACUCGCCUACAUGAAGCUGGAGUUACUAGUAAUCGCAGAUCAGAAUGCUGCGGUGAAUGCGUUCCCGGGUCUUGUACACACCGCCCGUCACACCAUGGGAGUUGGGGGCGCCCGAAGCCGGCUAGCUAACCUUUUGGAAGCGGUCGUCGAAGGUGAAACCAAUAACUGGGGUGAAGUCGUAACAAGGUA
rnacentral:rRNA from 1 species